CAUUUAUUAUCUCUUCUCUUUGGAAGGCCAGGUUGGAUGGGGCCCUGAGCAACCUGGUAUAGUGAAAGGUGUCCAUGCCCACAGCAGAAAGUUUGGAACUAGAUGAUCUUUAAGGCCCCUUCCAACCCAACCCAUUCAAUUA